AUUGAACGAGGGCGGCAUGCUUUACACAUGCAAGUCGAACGGCAGCACAGGGAGCUUGCUCCUGGGUGGCGAGUGGCGAACGGGUGAGUAAUGUAUCGGAACGUGCCUGGUAGUGGGGGAUAACUACUCGAAAGAGUGGCUAAUACCGCAUGAGAUCUCUGGAUGAAAGCGGGGGACCUUCGGGCCUCGUGCUACUGGAGCGGCCGAUAUCAGAUUAGGUUGUUGGUGGGGUAAAGGCCUACCAAGCCUGCGAUCUGUAGCUGGUCUGAGAGGACGACCAGCCACACUGGGACUGAGACACGGCCCAGACUCCUACGGGAGGCAGCAGUGGGGAAUUUUGGACAAUGGGCGCAAGCCUGAUCCAGCAAUGCCGCGUGCAGGACGAAGGCCUUCGGGUUGUAAACUGCUUUUGUACAGAACGAAAAGUCUCUGGCUAAUAUCUAGAGAUCAUGACGGUACUGUAAGAAUAAGCACCGGCUAACUACGUG
rnacentral:rRNA from 1 species